CCUACGGGAGGCAGCAGUGGGGAAUAUUGCACAAUGGGGGAAACCCUGAUGCAGCGACGCCGCGUGAGCGAUGAAGUACUUCGGUAUGUAAAGCUCUAUCAGUAGGGAAGAAAAUGACGGUACGUGACUAAGAAGCUCUGGCUAACUACGUGCCAGCAGCCGCGGUAAUACGUAGGGGGCAAGCGUUAUCCGGAUUUACUGGGUGUAAAGGGAGCGUAGACGGUCCUGCAAGUCAGUUGUGAAAGCCUGGGGCUCAACCCCGGGAGUGCAUUUGGAACUGUAAGGCUUGAGUGUCGGAGAGGCAGGCGGAAUUCGUGGUGUAGCGGUGAAAUGCGUAGAUAUUAGGAAGAACACCAAUGGCGAAGGCAGCCUACUGGACGAUAACUGACAUUGAGGCUCGAAAGCGUGGGGAGCAAACAGGAUUAGAUACCCCGGUAGUC
rnacentral:rRNA from 1 species